rnacentral:rRNA from 1 species
GGAGUCAAUUCUUAUUUAAUAUACACAUGCAAGUCUCCGCACCCCUGUGAAAACGCCCUAAUAACCCCAGUAGGGAAUAGGAGCUGGUAUCAGGCACAACCUCCUUGCCCAAAACACCUAGCCUCGCCACACCCACAAGGGCCCUCAGCAGUGAUAAACAUUGAGCAUAAGCGACAGCUUGACUCAGUUAAAUUACCCAGAGCCGGCCAAUCUGGUGCCAGCCGCCGCGGUUAUACCAGAAGCUCAAAUUGAUUUCUAUCGGCGUAAAGCGUGAUUAAAGAUCUAAAUUUUUGGAGUCCAACUAAAAUUAAGCUGUGACACGCCUGCUACCUAAGAAGACCUGAAACGAAAGUUAUUCCAA